rnacentral:rRNA from 1 species
UACCAGCACCCCGAGUGGUCGGGACGUUUAUUGGGCCUAAAGCAUCCGUAGCCGGUUCUACAAGUCCCCCGUUAAAUCCAACUGCUUAACAGAUGGGCUGCGGAGGAUACUAUAAGACUAGGAGGCAGGAGAGGCAAGCGGUACUCAGUGGGUAGGGGUAAAAUCCGUUGAUCCAUUGAAGACCACCAGUGGCGAAGGCGGCUUGCCAGAAUGCGCUCGACGGUGAGGGAUGAAAGCUGGGGGAGCAAACCGG